rnacentral:rRNA from 1 species
GUUUAGAUCGUCGUGAGACAGUUCGGUCCCUAUCUGCCGUGGACGUUUGAGAUUUGAGAGGGGCUGCUCCUAGUACGAGAGGACCGGAGUGGACGAACCUCUGGUGUUCCGGUUGUCACGCCAGUGGCAUUGCCGGGUAGCUAUGUUCGGAAGAGAUAACCGCUGAAAGCAUCUAAGCGGGAAACUUGCCUCAAGAUGAGAUCUCACUGGGAUCUAGAAUCCCCUGAAGGGCCGUCGAAGACUACGACGUUGAUAGGUUGGGUGUGUAAGCGCUGUGAGGCGUUGAGCUAACCAAUACUAAUUGCCCGUGAGGCUUGACCAU